rnacentral:rRNA from 1 species
UACGGAGGGGGCUAGCGUUGUUCGGAAUUACUGGGCGUAAAGCGCACGUAGGCGGGUUAUUAAGUCAGGGGUGAAAUCCCGGAGCUCAACUCCGGAACUGCCUUUGAUACUGGUAAUCUAGAGAUCGGAAGAGGUUAGUGGAAUUCCCCAGUGUAGAGGUGAAAUUCGUAGAUAUUCGCAAGAACACCAGUGGCGAAGGCGGCUCACUGGCCCGGUACUGACGCUGAGGUGCGAAAGCGUGGGGAGCAAACAGG